rnacentral:tRNA from 1 species
GGAGAGUGGCGUAGUGGUUUGAGCAUUGGACUACAACUCUGGAGACCAGGAUUUGAUUCCUUGCUCAUCCA